rnacentral:rRNA from 1 species
UACAGAGGGUGCGAGCGUUUAAUCGGAAUUACUGGGCGUAAAGCGUGCGUAGACGGCUAUCUAAGUCGGGUGUGAAAGCCCCGGGCUCAACCUGGGAAUUGCAUUCGAGACUGAAUAGCUAGGGUGCGGUAGAGGGAAGCGGAAUUUCCGGUGUAGCGGUGAAAUGCGUAGAUAUCGGAAGGAACAUCAGUGGCGAAAGCGGCUUC